UGGGCUUGACAUGCAGGGUAAAGCCGGUGAAAGCCGGCGCUCUACGGAGCCUGCACAGGUGGUGCAUGGCUGUCGUCAGCUCGUGCCGUGAGGUGUUGCCUUAAGUGGCGCAACGAGCGCAACCCUUGUCCUCAGUUGCCAGCGGGUCAUGCCGGGAACUCUGGGGAGACUGCCGGUGCCAAACCGGAGGAAGGUGGGGAUGACGUAUCGGCAUUAGCCA
rnacentral:misc_RNA from 1 species